GCGUAGCCAGCGGGUGCUGUACCGAACGACUGUAGCCUUCAGUCUAGUAGGGAAGGCUGAGAUUAUACCGUUUUGAACCUGCUCCCCGGUAAUGCGGGCGAAGGGAUAGGCAUUUCUCCCCUC
rnacentral:ncRNA from 16 species